rnacentral:rRNA from 1 species
GACGAACGCUGGCGGCGUGCUUAACACAUGCAAGUCGAACGGAAAGGCCCUGCUUUUGUGGGGUGCUCGAGUGGCGAACGGGUGAGUAACACGUGAGUAACCUGCCCUUGACUUUGGGAUAACUUCAGGAAACUGGGGCUAAUACCGGAUAGGAGCUCCUGCUGCAUGGUGGGGGUUGGAAAGUUUCGGCGGUUGGGGAUGGACUCGCGGCUUAUCAGCUUGUUGGUGGGGUAGUGGCUUACCAAGGCUUUGACGGGUAGCCGGCCUGAGAGGGUGACCGGCCACAUUGGGACUGAGAUACGGCCCAGACUCGUACGUGAGGCAGCAGUGGGGAAUAUUGCACAAUGGGCGGAAGCCUGAUGCAGCAACGCCGCGUGCGGGAUGACGGCCUUCGGGUUGUAAACCGCUUUCGCCUGUGACGAAGCGUGAGUGACGGUAAUGGGUAAAGAAGCACCGGCUAACUACGUG